UUCUGGUUGAUCCUGCCGGAGGCUACCGCUAUUGGAGUUCGAUUAAGCCAUGCGAGUCGAGAGUCUUAGGGACUCGGCGUACCGCUCAGUAACACGUGGGUAACCUGCCCUAUGCUGGGGAAUAACCUCGGGAAACUGAGAAUAAUGCCCCAUAGUCCACAAUGCCUGGAACGGUUUGUGGAUUAAAGCCCCGGCGGCAUAGGAUGGGCCUGCGGCGUAUCAGGUUGUAGGGGGUGUAACGUACCCUCUAGCCAUCAACGCGUACGGGUGUUGGGAGACAUAGCCCGGAGAUGGAUUCUGAGACACGAAUCCAGACCCUACGGGGUGCAGCAGGCGCGAAAACUUGGCAAUGCGAGAAAUCGUGACCAGGGAACUCCAAGUGGCUGGGGUAAUACCCAGUUUUUUCUUGACUCUUCAAAGGUCUUGGAAUAAGAGGUGGGUAAGGACGGUGCCAGCCGCCGCGGUAAUACCGGCGCCUCAAGUGGUAGUCGAUUUUAUUGGGCCUAAAACGUCCGUAGCCUGUUUGGUACAUUCGUGGGUAAAUCAACCAGCUCAACUGGUUGAAUUCUGCGAGCACGGCCAGACUUGGGACCGGGAGAGGUGUGGGGUACGCUCAGGGUAGGGGUAAAAUCCUGUCAUCCUGAGCGGACCACCUGUUGCGAAGGCGCCACACUAGAACGGAUCCGACG
rnacentral:rRNA from 1 species